UCAAACGAAGAGACAUUAGGCUGAGAGGUCAUGAGGAGAGCUCUACGAGCUCAUGAACUCAGUUAUCCCAGACUUCCAAGAAAAGUUCCGGCGUGAGUCACUUUACUGACCGUACCGCAAACCGACACAGGUGGGCAAGGAGAAUAUCCUAAGGCGUUUGAGAGAAGCCUCUCUAAGGAACUCGGCAUAAUGACACCGUAACUUCGGGAUAAGGUGUGCCGACGGUAGGUGAUGUGCCUGCGCACAAAGCCCAAGUCGGUUGCAGUGAAACGGGGGUAGCGACUGUUUACCAAAAACACAGCACUCUGCAAACUCGUAAGAGGAUGUAUAGGGUGUGAUGCCUGCCCGGUGCCGGAAGGUUAAGAGGAGGAGUCAGCCGCAAGGCAAAGCCCCGAAUCGAAGCCCCGGUAAACGGCGGCCGUAACGAUAACGGUCCUAAGGUAGCGAAAUUCCUUGUCGGGUAAGUUCCGACCUGCACGAAUGGCAUAACGACUUCCCCACUGUCUCGGAGAGGCCCUCAGCGAAGUAGCACUAGGGGUGAAGAUACCCUUUACCCGCGGCAGGACGGAAAGACCCCGUGAACCUUUACUGUAACUUGGCACUGAUUUUCGGGUUAGCUUGCGUAGGAUAGGUGGGAGGCUAUGAAGCCGGGAUUCCGGUCUCGGCAGAGCCAACCUUGAAAUACCACCCUGGCUAACCUAAAAAUCUAACUCGCUUCCGUAAUCCGGAAGGAGGACAAUGCCUGGUGGGCAGUUUGACUGGGGCGGUCGCCUCCCAAAAAGUAACGGAGGCGCGCGAAGGUUCCCUCAGCCUGAUUGGAAACCAGGCGCAGAGUGUAAUGGCAUAAGGGAGCUUGACUGCGAGACAAACAAGUCGAGCAGGUGCGAAAGCAGGUCAAAGUGAUCCGGUGGUCCUGUAUGGAAAGGCCAUCGCUCAACGGAUAAAAGGUACUCCGGGGAUAACAGGCUUAUCACGCCCAAGAGUUCACAUCGACGGCGUGGUUUGGCACCUCGAUGUCGGCUCAUCGCAUCCUGGGGCUGAAGUAGGUCCCAAGGGUUCGGCUGUUCGCCGAUUAAAGCGGUACGCGAGCUGGGUUCAAAACGUCGUGAGACAGUUUGGUCCCUAUCCGCCGUGGGCGCAGGAGACUUGAGAGGAGCUAACCUUAGUACGAGAGGACCGGGUUGGACUGACCUCUAGUGUUCCGGUUGUGGCACCAGCCGCAUCGCCGGGUAGCUACGUCGGGAAUGGAUAACCGCUGAAAGCAUCUAAGCGGGAAGCCAACCUCAAGAUUAGGUCUCCCAGGUCGUAAGACCCUAAAGGCCCCUCGUAGACCACGAGGUAAUAGGCUGGGUGUGGAAGCGUAGUAAUACGUGAAGCUGACCAGUACUAAUCGGCCGUGCGGCUUGACCAU
rnacentral:rRNA from 1 species